ACUUUAUUAUAUAGAUCUAAGUAUGUCCUCACACCAUACCAACAUGGCUUUAGGAAAUAUAGAUCAUGUGAAACACAACUAAUAGGAGUAAUUGAUGAUUUUUCAAAAGGUUUAGAUAAUAGUGAACAAAUAGAUGCUAUCUUACUAGAUUUUUCCUAAGGCUUUUGACUUUGACAAAGUUCACCACCAUAGUUUGCUUAAAAAAUUAAAAUAUUUCGGCAUUAAUGGUCCACUGCAUCAGUGGAUUACAGAUUUUCUGAUAGGGAGAGAACAAACUGUAAUAAUAAAUGGCUCUAAAUUAACACAGAUAACAGUAAACUCAGGUGUACCUCAAGGAACAGUCUUGGGUCCACUACUAUUUUUAAUUUACAUAAAUAAUUUACCAAAUAGCAUUACUUCAGGAACAAAAGUCAGAUUAUUUGCAGACGAUUGCAUAAUAUAUAAUAUAGAACAAUAAAAACAACACAAGACACCUGUAGAUAUUUUACAAAGAGAAUUAGAUGAAUUACAGAAAUGGGAAUCAAAUUGGUGCAUGUCUUUCCACCCAGAAAAAUGUCAGUUGUAAGAGUAACAAAAAAACUAAAACAAAUUAAUUCCACUUAUCUUAUUCAUGGCAAACCAGUAACAGAGACUAAAAAUGCAAAAUACCUAGGUGUUAUAAUAAAUGAAAAACUGUCAUGGAAUCCACAUAUUGAUGAAACUACAAAAAAAUCAAACAAAGCAUUAGGAUUUAUUAAAAGAAAUUUCUAUAAAUCAUAUAAGAAAAUAAAACUAAAAUGUUAUUUAACCUUGGUUAGGCCAAUAAUAGAAUAUGCAUCCUCCGUUUGGGACUUCUCAACUCAAGAAAACAUUAAGAAACUGGAACAGACACAAAAUAGAGCAGUGCGAUUCAUAACAAACGAAUAUUCACAUUUGACUAGAGUAACACCUUUAGUAAAAUCACUAAAUUUAGAAAGCCUUCAGGACAGAAGGCUCAAAAGUAAAGUAGCAAUCAUACAUAAAACACUGAACCAUAAUCUUCAAAUACAAAAACAAAAUUUAAUAAAAUACUCUGAAAGACGCAAAGAUAAAGGCACAUUCCUCGUCCCAUAUGCUAGGACAAAUUUGUACAAAUACUUUUUGUUCCCUAGUGCUAUUAGAGCAUGGAAUGGGUUGCCUGAGCUAGCCAGGAAAACCAGUGACUUGGCAGAAUUUAAGUCAUUGGUUAAUAUGCAUGACGCAUAGGACGUAAUCAUCUUCUUUUUUGAAAGCAGACUAUCUUGACACACAGUAUAUAGCUCCUCCUUCAUGUUCAAAGAUGAGCACAUUUCUCAUUUCCUAAGGCCUUGAAGAUGACUGUAAAGUCCAAUCCUCGCUUUAAAAAGCCAGCCGCAUGCAUGGCAUGGGAGGGUUUGGUCAGUUGCAGACAGGCCUGCUUCUUCCGAGACUCACAGCUUCUCGCCAUGAGGAAUGAUCAAGAGCUAGUGCUUCCCAGUCAUGAAUGUCGAUUUUGCAUUCCUUGAAGGAGCUCUUCAGAGUGUCUAUAUAGCGCUUGUAUUGACCUCCCUGGGAGCGCUUUCCUGCACACAACUCCCCUUACAGAAGUCGUUUGGGAAGGCGAUAUUGUUCAUGUUGGACAGCUUUAAGAUUUCUGUGUGGUAUGUGUUCAGACCAACGCACCCUAUGGAUACUCCUUAGACAGCGUAGGUGGAAGGAGUUUAACUUUUUGGUGUGGCAGGAAUAUAAGGUCCAGGACUCUGAUGCAUAAUAUAGGAGUGACGGAAGAACUACAGUACUGUAGACUUUCAGUUUUGUGGAUAUGCUGAGUCCUUUCCGUUGCCACACUUGUCCUUGUAGUCUACCAAAAGCAGCACUGGCACUAGCAACACGGAAGUCUACCGCAUCAUCUAGGUUGAUUUGCUGAUAUGGUGCUUCCGGUGCUUCCCAGAAGACAAACUUUUGACAUUUGCUAAUUUCUGGCCAUCUAUCAGAAUGUCUGGUUCUAUGACAGCAACAAUGUUAAAUUAUUAAGCGUCUAACAGUCACCACUACUUUUCAGAAUGGAAGUUCAAGAAGAAGUCAAAUCCAGUCUAUUGAUUUCUGAUAAACAUCACCCAUUUGUUUACUUGAAGAUACAAUUAACUUUUGAAAAUGGUGAAGAAGAUGUGAAUGAAUUAACUCCAGUACAAUUUAAAUUUCUUGUAAUGCAAGCAAUCAAAGAAACACUUGGUGAAAUAGGAGCAAGUACACCAGUUGAUAUUCUGAAGCUCUGGGAUGAAGGUCUGGCAAUCUUGAGAGUUCCAAGCAUUGAGGCUGAAAAAAUCUGGGCAGCAUUAACACUUUAUAGCACUACAGCCACUCAGAAGAAAUGUGCCUUCAGAGUCCUCCAGGCAUCAGCAUUUCUUCUAGCCUUAUCUGUCAACAGCAGAGACUUGAGAUAGCACUGGCUGAGUGAUAAUAGACCCAAUACUUGUAUUUUUAUAGAAUAAAAUGACAUCAAUAAAUUAAUAUUUAUGUAAAAAAAAGUGUUUUGUUGUUUUAAUA